CAGGUGAGCCGAGAUUUUUCCAGGCUCUGGCUUGCAUACGAACAAUACAGCAUUCAAAUGUUCAACAGGGAAUACCAUGGAAACAAGGCCAGUAGGCAACCCCUUCCUCCUCCUCCUCCCACUUUCCCUCGUUGUAUAGUCGUGCUUCAGACACCCUGCUAGAAGUACCAAGUGUGAAUAUAAGUUCUCUGCUCAGGAUAAGGCUGUAUCCAUUUGUAAAUAAGUCCUUUUUAAAAAAAGAUAUAAAAGGAAAUUGGCUAUCAAUAAGGCAGCAAUGAUUAAAACCGCAGGAGUUUGAGAUGUGGAUCAGGCCUGCGUGAGGACUCAGACCAUCCCUGAAAGCUGGAUUUUGAGAACGACGGCAUCAGCAGGCAAAAAGAGAGAAAUAGAUUCCAGCUCUUUUUAUUUUAAAUGGUGCGUGAACUGCUUCUUUUCAAACGGUCACCCAAUCUAAACCGUCUCUUCACCGCAGCUUGUCAACAUUUCUUCUUGUGAGAUCUUAAUCAACCUGCAUCAGUACUUUCAGUGAUUUGGAUGAGACUUACUGGAUGCACCAUGGAUUAGAGAGGAAUCAUUGGAUAUACAGCAGAAAUGUACAAAGAAGCAAUGUAAUCCUCUGAGGAACAGCAACAUUCAAGUGUUAAUGUGUGCCUCAUCUACUAGUGAACGUAUAUUCACCUCGGCAAGUCCAGCAUCACAGAUAGAGUGGUACCAGUUGAAUACUUCAUAGCUUUGCAUCCGUCCUUACCAAAGAAGGAAGGUGCUCCUCAGGCCACGGUGAAAGAGAUGGAAUUCUAUCACUAAACGGGUUCACAUUGAAUAAGGAAGAAGUGUUGGAUAGACCGUUGGUGCUUAAAAGUUGUCAGGCACCGGGACCAAAUGCGAUCGAUCCAAGGAUAGUGAAGGACGUGAGAGUGGAAAUUGCAGGGGCUCUGAUCACAAUCUUCCAGUCUUUUCUCGAAUAAGGAAGGUGUCAGAAGACUGGAGAAUUGUAAUGUUAUGGCCUUGUUCACAAAAAUGUUGGAAAGAUAAGCACAGCAAUUACAGACCAAUUUACUUUCAGCGGCUAGAAGCAGUUAUUCAGUGUAUCUCAGUAAUCACAUGGAAAUAGGUGAAUUGAUUCAGAAGUCAGCAUGGAUUUCUAAAGAAAAAGCCAUGCUUGAGUAACCUACUGGAGUGUUUUCGAAGAGGUAACAGAAUCGGUCGAGGAGGGUAACACUGCCGAUGUGGUAUACACGGAUUUUCAUUUGGCCUUUGAAACAGUUGUACUCAUCAAACGUGAUGGAAGUUAUAGGUCAUAGAACAAAAGGAUCCUGGUGGUCCAGAGAAAAAUUUCCAAGUUUGAAGAUGACAUGAAAUGUGAAAGAAAUGUAAGCUGUGAGGAGGAUAGAACAGAACUCCAAAAUGAUAUUGACAAGUUGGUGGAUUGGGCAGACAGGUGACAGACGAGAAGUGUGAAGUGAUGCAUUUUGGUGGGAAGAUCAUGGAAGGACAGUGUAAAAUAGGGAGUACAAUUCUAAUAGGGUGCAGCAGCAAUGGGACCUGGGUAUACUUGUGCACAGAUCACUGAAGUUGGCAGUACAAAUGGAGACAGCAGUAAAUAAAGCAUGUUGUACCCUUAGCUUUAUUCAUAGAAGCUUAAAGUGCAAAGCAAGGAGGUGAUGUUGAGUUCAUUUGUUAGAUCUCACCUGGAAUACUGUGUUUUGGGUGCCUUAUUACAGGAAGGAUGCGAACACAUUGGAGUGAGUGCCAAAGUGAUUUUCAAGAAUAGUUCUAGGGAUGAGGAACCUCAGAUAUAUGAGAACAGAUUGAAAAGCCAGGACUGUUCUCUUUGGAGAGAAGAUGGCAGAGAGGAGGGAUGAUUGAGCUCUUCAAAAUCAUGACCUGCCUGAACAAAGCGGACAGGGAUAAACUAUUCCCAAUCAUAAAAAGAACAAAAAUGAGAAGGCAUAGAUUUAAAGUGACGUGGAAAAGGAGAUAGUACAGGCUCAGUUGAAUUCAAGAGGACAUUACUUCUAUCCAAAUAAGCAUUCAAUGUGAAAGGAUGUAGGGAAAAAGCAGGAGAUUGACACUUGGUAAUGAUGAGCUGGUACAGAAAGGAUGGAAUGAAUGGUCUCCUUCCUCACCGUAACAAUUCUGUGGGCAGAUAGAGAUGCAGAGAUACAGACAGCCAUGGAAAAUCCACAUCAAAGCCCUGAGGAAGUAUCAAACAAUGAUCAUCUAGAAAUAGAUGCUGAGAUUGGGUGAGGAAGACGGGUGAGUCAUUUGCUAUGCAAGUACUUAUUGAAUGCUAAAGAUAAAUACAAACAUUUGAAAAUGUUUGAUCAGCUUUCAGAAUUCCCUGAAGUCCUGCAGUCCCUCCUGCUGAAUACUGAGGAACCCAUCGUGGCCAUGACUACCAGGUUUUGAGCAGAUGAGUGCAUGAUGACAUCCAUAGAAAGAGUGGUCAUUUGAGAAGCAUACGUGAGUGUCCAACGAAUGGAUACAAGCACAUGGGAAAGCUCUCCAUAUAUUGGCAGCUACGCUGCAAAGCACUGAGUGAACUGUUGCCUUGAAGACUGGACAAUGCAGUCAACAAAAUUCAAGAAGCUCAACACCAUCGAGGGCAUAGAAGCUUCCUUGAUCGACAGUCCAUUAAACAUUCACUCCCUCCAUCUCCAAUACACAAUAACAGUAGUGCAGUAUAAAUUAUAAGAUGCAUGGGAACACCAGUACUUUCAUGUUCCCCUCAAAGGCACAACCCAUCCUCACUUGGAAUUGCACUGUCAUCCCUUCGGUACUAAAGUCAAAAACCUGUAACUUCCCUUUCUAACAACACCUUGGCAGUGCCAAUAGCAGAUGGACUAUAGCAGUUUAAAAUGUGGCUUACUACCAUCUUCUCAAGGGUAAUUUGGGAGAAGCGACAAAUGUUAGUUUUGAAAGGAUGCUUAUGUUCUAUGAAUGAAUUGAAACAAAGUUCAGCCAUUCUUGUUUAAUAGGAAGGUAUAUGUCAGCCCUAAACAAAGACAGGCUGAUCGGUGUAAAAACCAAAUUAAUGAUGGCAUUCAGUGCUCUCCUCAAGGCAUCUCCAGGUUUUGUUCCCUAACCCUCUGACAAAGAACAGCAGCUGACUACCAGUUCUAUCACUGAAGCUGCCUCUGCACAUAUACAGGAGAGAUAGGUUUUUGAGGGGCUCUCAAACCAACUACUGGGGAACAUACAAUCUCCAUGUAGAAUCUCAGGAGCUGAAAAUGAGCAGGCUGCCUCCAGCUCUGUGGCAGAUGGCAACAUUCAGAACAAGGCAAUAAUAGGCACAGUUCCUUCAGUUGGAGCUCACCUUGAUUAGGGUGUUGUGGAUUUUCAGACAUGUGAAGUGUACAUGCUUGUCUUCUCCUUCCUUCGGGAAAGCCUGUCAAUCUGCAACAAGAUCUUUGUGAAGACCUAAACAGCUGAACAGAAUAAGUAGAAGCCCUUACACUGAACACAUAGGGCUUGUCAGUCUGUAGGAGCCUGAUAACCACAUGAGUGCAGCCUGACGUCUGGAAAUCUGCUUUCAAGUCGCUCUUACAAUGCUUUAGGGUUGGUUCAGGGCAUACAUUUGAAUUGGAUAUAUUGGGAUGGUCUCCGAUACAAGGUAUCCGUGUCCUGGCUGAUACCCUGGGGCCUGCUAACUGGUAGCUGAGCCCUGUCCUGAGACUGGCAUGGUAUUUGGGUGGCCUCUUUCUCCCAGUGACAUGAUAUCGUGCUCCAUCCAGACACAGGUCAGUGCCCACUUGAUGUAAUAGCUGCUGUUGCCCUGACAGGGUGGGUAGCUGCACAUUGGCCUGCUCCACUGGAUAGGGUGGUGCCUUCUCCUGGAUCCAGCCCUUUGGCCAUUGCUGUUGUUCUCUAUGUUGGAUGCUGUAACUGCUGGUCCUGUGGUGCUUGAUGACCUUUCUAAAGUGGAUGCUGAAUAGGGAAACACCUUGAAAUGUUUGUGCUGCCUUUUGUUUCUCCAGUGGCUUCAAUGCAUUGACAGUAAGUUCCUUUUCCUGUGACUUACCCAAAGUGCUUGCUUUGUGGGCUUGCAACAGUUAUGCUGUUCUGACACAACUAGCAGCAAGGCUGGGCUUUUACAGCUGGUUUCCCCCUUGCCAUUAGCUGCAAUAAUGGCAGCUCAAUGUGUGCUGCAUGCUCACCUCUCUUAUAUCAAUGGCUUUUGUUUUAUUCAUUCAUGAGAUGAGGGCAUCGCUGGCCAGGCCAGCAUUUAUUGCCCAGCUGUAAUUGCCCAUAGUGAAGUUAGGAGUCAUCUACUAUGCUGGAGUCAUGUGUAGGCCAGACCAGGUAAGGAUGGCAGUUUCCUUCCCUAAAGGACAUCAGUGAAAAGGUUUUUUUUUCUGACAACUGACUUUUGAUUCAUGGUCAUCAUUUGGUUAAUAAUUCCACAUUUUUAUUGAAUUCCAGAUUCUACCAUCUGCCACAAUGAAAUUCAAACCCAGGUUCCCCCACAGACCAGUGAUUAUACCACUCAGUUAUCACCUCAACUAUUGCCAUUACAUACAUCAUGUAUGCCACAGAGAUGGAGAAAUUGUGCCUCAUUCCAUAGUUAUUAACUGGUUUUUCAUUUUCCGUAAUUGGCGACAUGCAUUUCACCAUCGGGGGUUCCUGACUACACCAUGAAGCAACCUCUUGGAAAACUGAGCAGAGAUGGAAAAUUGGUGGGAUACCAAUCCAAUUUAUACUUGUGCUACAUUCUCAACAGCAGUAGAGCUUGCAAGUGCCUGGUAAAAUUCCACUCUCAGAUACUGAGAAAACAAGUGAAAAGAUCCUAGGGGUUACCACUGACUAGAAACUGAACUGGACAAAUUACGUACUGUGGCUUUAUGAGGAGAUCAGAGGCUGGGAAUUUCAUAGUGAGGAAGAUUAACUCACUCACUUCCUGUCUACAAGGCACAAAUCAGGAAUGGAAUCCAUCCAGGAGAUAAAAAGGCCUGCAUGAUUGGCAUUUCACCUAACCCCUUCGAUAGUAAUCCCCUUCACCACUGAUGCGCAGAAUGUGCACAAUCUACAAAGUGCACCUCAAUAACUCACCAAGGCUCUUUUGAUAGCAGCUUCCAAACCCACAAUCUCGACCAUCACCAAAUACAAAUGGCUCAAGAAGGCAGCCCCAGGGCAAUUAGGGAUGCAAAAUAAAUUCUGGCCUAAAACUGGUAUGGAGGGAAGGUCUUACGAGGAAAGGCUGAGGGACUUGAGGCUGUUUUCAUUAGAGAGAAGAAGGUUGAGAGGUGACUUAAUUGAAACAUAUAAAAUAAUCAUAGGGUUAGAUAGGGUGGAUAGGGAGAGCCUUUUUCCUAAGAUGGUGACGGCGAGCACGAGGGGGCAUAGCUUUAAAUUGAGGGGUGAAAGAUAUAGGACAGAUGUCAGAGGUAGUUUCUUUACUCAGAGAGUAGUAAGGGAAUGGAACGCUUUGCCUGCAACGGUAGUAGAUUUGCCAACUUUAGGUACAUUUAAGUCACCAUUGGAUAAGCAUACGGACGUACGUGGAAUAGUGUAGGUUAGAUGGGCUUCAGAUUGGUAUGACAGGUCGGCACAACAUCGAGGGCCGAAGGGCCUGUACUGUGCUGUAAUGUUCUAUGUUCUAGGUUCUAAACAGCAACAUUCACAUCCCAGAAACAGGUAUGAAAUAUGUAAAUACUUAAACGAACGCACAGCAACAUGAAUACUUCAGCAUGCAUACUAAUACACAUAAUAUCGCUGAAUGUUGAUUUUGUGGGCCUGUCUUCUGAAUAUGCUCCAAGCCAGGUUCACAUUCAGCUCAGUUCAUGCGUCAGCAAUCUUCUUUGCUGGGAGAGACUGUGACUGAUUCUGUGUUGACAGAAUGAAGCAAGGUUGAACUUUCUCUGAACCCACUGCUUUUACCAUCCAUCAACCUGUCUCUUUGAAAUUGUAACUCAGUGACCUGAUAAAAUGAACUUUCUGAUGCACCUAAGGGGUGGAAAUUCUUUCAGCUCUUGUGGGCAGAUGCUUUGAGAUUUCUCCUGCUACCUAGGCCUUAUUGUAACUAGAGUGUUCUACUUUUCAAAUAUAUUCAAACCAGAGCAUGUCCACAGUUCACUAAAAAUUCAGAGGGGCAAAACCACACUUUCACACAGAACAAUCUAUGUAUCAAGGUUCCCCCGUGAAAUUCCAAAUAGAACGAGUUCCUGAGGUCUGCUCCUGGCACAGUGGAAUUCUGAUAGCACAACCUCCUGAUACUGUAAGACUGAUAGGAUAACAUAAUCGAGUGAAUCUACAAUUGGAUAACUUUCUGACACAGUGGGAUUCUGAAGGGAUCAUGCCCAUCUUGUCUUGGUUAUUAAAGAAAGACAUCCUGUAUACCUUCUUAAGCAUUUAUUCAUCUUUGCUGUCAUCUUCAGGGAUAUAUGGACAUUCAUUCCAAUGUUUUUCUGUUCUUUCCAACAUCUCCUUAUCCUACCAUUUAUUACAUAUCAUCUUGUCUGGUUUUCCCACUUUAAGCAUGUCACACCAAAUUUAUCUGAUUCAAAUCCAUUUCACUGUUUUCUAUCUCCUUGACCAGUCCAAUGGUAUCUUCCCGCAACCUUUAGCAUAAACUUUCUUCCUAAUUAAUAACUACAUGCCCAAAAUUUGUAUCAGCUUCAUCUCCUACAUUUGAGUCUCAAUCACUGAUAUAAAUCACAGAAUCAGAAAUUAGUAGAGCCCUGUAGGACUUUCGCCAAACACUACCCUUAACUUGCUGACACUCAGCCAGUUUUGGAUUCAACUUAACUGUUGGACUUGGUUGGUUCUUACAUUUCUGACAGUCCACUAUAUGAAAUCUUGUCAAAGUCCUUUCUAAAAUUCUUGUAGACUUCAUGAAAUGUGCCAUCCUCAGCAAUCCUGCUAUGUUUCUUUGUUACCCCUCAAAUAAACAAAAUUAAGUGACUCAAGCACAAACAUCUUUCAAUACAGAUUGUCUUGAUGGAUCAAUGGUUUUCUCACGAACAAUUUUCACUGUCUCUCACCAUUUUGUUCCAAUAAUUAUCUCUAUCACCAAGGUUAGGCUGAUUGUAUUUAUUCAAGCAUCCUGUCCUCUGUAUACAAUAAUGCAGUCUGAGAAACUCCCUUGUACCAGGCCCAUAGCCAAGGUGGACUAUGAGACUAUGAGUGUCUACUAAUUCGUCCCUUGCUCCUUCUAGAAACUUGGGAUACAUUUUGUUCGAGGUCAGCAAUUUAAACACUUUCAGAUUUAUUAAAUCCACUAAUGCUUUUUAAAAAAGUUCAUUUGUAGGUUGUGGGUGUAGCUGGCUGGCCAGAAUUUUUUGCCUGUCCCUAGUUACCGUUGAGGAGCUGUGAUGAGCUGCCUUCUUGAACUGCUGCGGCCCACCUGCCGCGUGUCAAUCUACAAUGCCAUCAGGGUGGGAAUUCCAGGAUUUUGACCCAGCGGCAGUGAAGGAACGACGAAAUACUUCCAAGUCAGGACGGUGAUUGGUUUGGUGGGGAGCUUGCAGAUGGUGGUGGUUCCCAUGUAUCUGCUACCCUUGUCCUUCUAGAUGGAAGUGGUCUGCAAGGGGCUGCCUGAGGAUCUUGGGUGAAUUCCUGCAGUGCAUCUUGCUCUUUCAUUAUGCUUAUCUAAUUCUAACACUUCACACUCCCUUCUUAACUACAAUAUCAGCAUCAUUCCUCUGUUUUGUGAAGAUAGAUGCAAAGUCUUCAUCAAAAACAAUGUCUGUGCCUCCUACCUUGACACACAGGUUACUUUUUUGUCUCUUACCAGUUGCACUCUUCCCUUCAUUCUUUUCUUAUGGAUCAACAUCCACAAUCCAUACAUUGACACAGCACCGAGAGUCGGUGUCAUGGCUCAGUGCCAUGGAUCAAUUCUCAGGGUUCGUGCAAUGGAUUAAUCUUCAAGGUUGAGCAAUGGAAUAAUGCCCAGCGUUGGAGCAAUGGAAUGGUAACCGCAGUUGGAGCAAUGGAACAGUGCCCAGGGAUGGAGCAAUGGAACAGUGCCCAGGGAUGGAGCAAUGGAGCAGUGCCCAGGGAUGGAGCAAUGGAGCAGUGCCCAGGGAUGGAGCAAUGGAGCAGUGCCCAGGGUUGGAGCAAUGGAACAGUGCCCAGGGAUGGAGCAAUGGAACAGUACCCAGGGAUGGAGCAAUGGAACAGUGCCUAGGGAUGGAGCAAUGGAACAGCGCCCAGGGAUGGAGUAAUGGAACCGUGCCCAGGGAUGGAGCAUUGGAACAGUGCCUAGGGAUGGAGCAAUAGAGCAGUGCCCAGGGAUGGAGCAAUGGAACAGUGCCCAGGGAUGGAGCAAUGGAACAGUGCCCAGGAAUGGAGCAAUGGAACAGUGCCUAGAGAUGGAGCAAUGGAUCAGUGACCAGGGUUGGAGCAAUGGAACAGUGCCCAGGGAUGGAGCAGUGGAACAGUGCCCAGGGAUGGAGGAAUGGAUCAGUGACCAGGGUUGGAGCAAUGGAACAGUGCCUAGGGAUGGAGCAAUAGAGCAGUGCCGAGGGAUGGAGGAAUGGAACAGUGCCCAGGGAUGGAGCAAUGGAACAGUGCCCAGGGAUGGAGCAAUGGAACAGUGCCUAGAGAUGGAGCAAUGGAUCAGUGACCAGGGUUGGAGCAAUGGAUUAAGCCUCGAGGAUGGUGCAAUAAAUUAAUCCUCAGGGUUGCUGCAAAGCAUCAAUCCUCAGGGUUGCUGCAAAGGAUCAGUGCCCAGGGUUGGUGCCACAGACCAGUUCUCAGGGUUGAUGUGAUAAUCUCUAUCUACAGGAGAGGAAAGCAACAAUUUAACAAUAAUGCUUCCAUGAAGUAUGGGUAACACAAUCAGACUUCAUCCAUACUUAGUUUGCAAUGGACUGAAUCCCGUGGAAGGGGAAUGAGGCUCACUUCCAGAGUGGGCCAACUAAAAAAUCAGAAAAUGCGCGAUGGAUGGUUCCUUAGGUUAUAUGCAACUUCAGUGAAGGAACUGCAACAAAUCUGAUUGGGAUUACUUCAUGUACUGGUAGUCCUUUUUAAAAUCUUUUUCAUUCCAAGUAAUUGUACUAUCAGGGUUUGAUUCACUUCUUUUCCUCUCACACCACUCUUGAUUUCAUUGUCUGUAAGGACAUGUAGAUAUGUCCAGCUUAUAUUCACAUUGCUCUUGCCAAAGCCCCACUCUCAAUUAUUUAAUUCUAUCCUCUCUCAAAAGGAAUUAGAUAGUCACUGCAGGGUAACCUUCGGUUGAAUGCAUGCUGUCUGUGUCCUGGGAGUGUUUGAUGGUUCACUCACCACAGCAGAAGUUUGACUUCUUGUCUAACCCUUAGCCCCUAUAAGAUGGCUAGAUGUGAAAAGCGUUGCCCAAGUCAGAAAACUUUCAACUUUCUUCUCAUCAAAUUAUUGAUUCAUUCACAGGAUGAAGGUGUCACUGCUAAACCAGCAUUUAUUGCCCAUUCUAAAUUUUUAAGAGUCAACCACGUGUCAGCCAGACCUGGCGAGGAUGAUAGUUUCCUUUCCUACAGGACAUUCAUGAACCAAAUGGGUUUUCCCCAAUAAUCAAUAAUGGUUUCAUGGUCAUCAUUGAUAUUUAAAUCCAGAUUUCUUUAUUGAUUUCAAAAUAAUCCACUUGUUGCAGUAGAAUGUGAACCUAAAACAUUACCUGGGACUCUGGAUUAACAAUCCAGCGAUGGGCUGUAAUGAAAAUACAUUUAUUGUGAAAGAGAAAUUGUUACAGCUGGGCAGCAGAGGGCAGCAUUGUUUAAAUUUUCAGUGACCAUGGAGAAUUUAAUCUGAGUGCAGUGGUGAACAGUCUUCACUGUGCCAGAUGCAAGAACUAUUCCAAAUGGAUUGCUAAAGGAAAGUCAAGAGCUGACUAUGAUUUACAGUGAGAAUAAUGACAAAAAACCUGUUCAGUCUGUUUCAAUCCACUUGACCACGUCCACAUACACAAUGUCGACAAGAGGACCUUGGAACAAGUGAUAUUUGUCGUGUAGGAAUUAUGCCGUAUUUCAAUAAAAUAAACCAAAAUCCUACCCCCUGCUGCUGCUGGAUCACUGAAUAUAUACAUUCGCAACUGUGGAGCUGAAAAACAGAGAUUAAUCUGCUUCAGUUAAAUCUCACUGCUGAUUACCAGGCAGUGAGUCACACUGGAAGAACAAGGGAGUGAACAACAGAUGAGGAAAGAGUUGGGGUUAGCUGUGAUACCCAUCAAGGUUGAAUUCAUUUGCUAAUAUUCACUGCGUCAUAUGAAAAAGUAGCCACUUGGAUUACGGGGAGAGAGACAGACAGUGGGAUUUAUCUAUUUACACAAUGAGGAGUUUUGUGGAGUGACAGUCACCAACAACUUGUCCUGGCCCAUCCAGAACGUGAUGUUCAAGAAAGGUUAGCAAUGGCUCUUCUUCCUCAGGAGGUUGAGGAAAUUCAACACGUCCUUGAAGACCCUCACCAAUUUUUAUAGAUACACCAUAGAAAGCAUGUUACCCAAAUGCUCUGUCUAGCACUGUAAGAAACGAUGGAGAGUUGUGAACACAGCCCAGUCUAUCACGCAAGGCAAACUUCCAUCCAUUGACUCCAUCUCUACUUCUCACUGCCUCGGGAAGGCAGCCACUAUCAUUAUGGACCCCUCCCAACCCGGUUAUAAUCUCUUCUGUCAUGUAGAAGAUACAGCUUAAACACAUGAACCAGUAGGUUCUUCUUCCCUGCUGUUGUUGGAGUUCUGAAUGGACCUCUCAAAUUCCAAUCCUAAUGUUGAUCUUGCGAUUUAUGAACCUUUUUUGCAGCCGUAAUUUCAUAUUCCUCGCUGUGUUCAAUCACCCUAUCUUGUAUGGUAUUAUCUGCCUGUACUGCACGCAAACAAUACUUUUCACUUACCUAGGCACAUAUAACAAUAAUACAUCAAAUCAAAUCUAAAAGGAUAGACAGAGAUGAAAUGACAGGAAGAGAAAAAUAAUGUCAAUGUGAGACACGCACAGGCAGAAAGUCAGCAAGACACACAGAGAGAUAAGAGACAAAAACAGAGAAAUACAUAGUGAGACAUGGAGAUAGACAAGAUAGAGAGAUACAGACAUAGACACAGAGACACACACAAAUAUGUAAAGUCAGAGCAGAGAAUUAGAGAGGUACAAAAGCAGAAAGACAAGCAAAGGUAAGGUAUGGCACAGACACCAAGUUAAGAUGGAACUGGAUCAGUAACCCCGAGGUCAUUAGGUCAAAAUACUGUAAUUUAUGAGCUAGUACCUAAUAAGUGAUCAGUACAACUGCUAGAUUGUUGGGAAAUCAGUUUAGGCUUUUCAAUGUGCUUCAAGAAAAGGAAUCCAUAGUUAGUCCAGCCUACAGGGGACUCCACACUGACAGUACAUGGUUAAAUCAUAACUCUCAAGGCUACCUGGGGAUUUUGACAACUAUAAAAACAAAUAAAAAAGAUAUUGAGAAAACAAAGGGAGGUAGAGAUAGAAAGAUAAGCUAAUAUAGGGAGGGACAUAGGGCUCAGUUUUAAUUCAUUCACUUUAACUUGAAAUAGUGAUUACAGAUCGGAGGGAGAGAACAUGAGAGAGGGAUACUUAAUGAGUUGAGCAAAAGAGGCAGAGUAUUACAUUCAUAAACAGCACCAAAAUUAGCCUCUCUUUUCAGGAGAUCCCAAAAACUAAAUCGACACAUAUGGAAUGAUAUAUCAUACUUAGAGACACUGAUGGGUAAGCACUUGCACAUGAACACAGAAAAAGUGAAAUCUUUUUCAUAUUUUUGCUUGGGGCUGGAACAUUGUGAUAUAAGGCUUGAUUUAUAUGUAGUUAAAUAUCAUUUAUUUUGUAUUUCUUUGGUUUUGAAUUUGCGACUUACCUACUUUGUAUGUGUGAAACCCCUGUAAAGGGUUCAGUGAAAUGUAAGGCCCAGUUUAAACUCCUCGGUGUAAGGACUUCAGUUCAAAAGUUCCACAAGAAGUGGUUAAAACCCUAAAAGAGUUAGUUGAAGCUCAGUAAGUCUAAGCUCAGUUGAAUGAAGGCUCCAGGAAGAGGCCAUCAGAUUCUUAAACGAGUGAAUUAAAGCCACAGUGAAAUUAAAUCUGAUAGAUUUAAAGAAAAAGGGAAGUCUCUCAGGUAUGAGUAUUGUUAAGGAGGACUCUUUGGAUUAACAGGAGUGUAUUUUACCAGGUAUUUCUA